GUAAGUCUUUUGAAUUAUACAGAAGUUUAUAAACGAUUUAAAAUGAAAAUCUAUAGAAAUCUACUCGUCAUUAAUUCUAUAUAAAUCUAUGAAAAAUCCACAAAGUGACCUUCUAAAAAAAUCCAUUUAAAAUCCAAUUGAAUACACCCUCUCAAGCAAAACAAAGCAAAGAGUCCAACUUCAACACUUCCAAACGUAACCAAUCCAUUAAAAAUUCAAAAGAAAUUUUAAAAAACUGAGAAGGGGUGUGAUAGACUGUUAGUUACAUUUGAUUAAUAUUUGGGGCAUCACAAAAUGAUGAGCCGUCGUUGUUCCGUAAUUGCAAAGCAAUUGAAGCAACAGAGGCGGCCGCGGCCAUGACAAGCCAUGAGGAUUGAAAUGGUUUUUCCCCGUUUUCUGAGCCCACGAUGAGAGUUCUUGCUAGACUGGUGUUCUGCUUAUGUACUAAUAAAUUUUUUAAAUUGGAAUAUAUGGGUUUCGAAGAAGAACGCAGGCGAGAGAGCCAGGAAGAUAAAGCCAUGGCUGAAAAAAGGGAUAGCAGGAAAGCUUUGUUCAGAGGAGGAUAAAUG
rnacentral:lncRNA from 1 species